rnacentral:tRNA from 1 species
GCCCGCUUGGCUAAGUGGUAUAGCGUGUCACUAGUAUUCCAACUAGAUGUCAUGACAAGAUCAGCGGUUCGAUUCCGCUAGUGGGCA